rnacentral:tmRNA from 1 species
GGGGCUGACUUGGAUUUCGACAGAUUUCUUGUCGCACAGAUAGCAUGCCAAGCGCUGCUUGUAAAACAGCAACAAAAAUAACUGUAAACAACGCAGAUUACGCUCCAGCUUACGCUAAAGCCGCGUGAGUUAAUCUCCUUUUGGAGCUGGACUGAUUAGAAUUUCUAGCGUUUUAAUCACUCCAUAACCUUAAGCUAGACGCUUUUAAAAGGUGGUUCGCCUUUUAAACUAAGAAACAAGAACUCUUGAAACUACCUCAAGGUUUUAGAAAGUUGGACCAGAGCUAGUUUUAAGGCUAAAAAACUAACCAAUUUUCUAAGCAUUGUAGAAGUUUGUGUUUAGGGCAAGAUUUUUGGACUGGGGUUCGAUUCCCCACAGCUCCACCA